GUAGGGACCAAGCGUUGUUCGGAUUUACUGGGCGUAAAGGGCGCGUAGGCGGCAAUUCAAGUCAUCUGUGAAAUCUCCGGGCUUAACUCGGAACGGUCAGAUGAUACUGCUUUGCUAGAGUACAGAAGGGGCAAUCGGAAUUCUUGGUGUAGCGGUGAAAUGCGUAGAUAUCAAGAGGAACACCUGAGGUGAAGACGGGUUGCUGGGCUGAUACUGACGCUGAGGCGCGAAAGCUAGGGUAGCAAACGGG
rnacentral:rRNA from 1 species